rnacentral:misc_RNA from 1 species
CAGGCAUACAACAAUUAUGCAUAUGAUGUAUUAAAAAGUUUAAGCUAUAAUGUACAAGCUAGCUUAGAGACUCUAUUAUGUUUCUCUCUCCAAGCUCUCCAAGCUUCAACUCUAUAAAGGCAGAAAUAUGCACUACCUUUGUUGCGGUCUAUCUUCCUGAAGCUCUUCACAUCUAUGUUGGUAUGUCUAUUUGAUAGCGAGCCUAUCUGUCAUGAACUUAUAGCCAACCAUCAAUACCAAGUUACAAGCUUGUCAUGACUACAAUACUUGGUGGCUCAGCAACAUGAUUGUUCUCAGGAAAGAUACUCAUUUGUCCUUAAAAUCUGGCAGCAACGUGUUAACCUGAAAAUACCUGAAAAUUUGACAUAUUAUUGGCAUGAUCGUUGACAGUCCAUGGACUCUUGCAUCACAUGGUUAGUCAUUAAAUUCAACAAUUCAUAAACAUCUCUACUCCUGGGGUGAGAAGAGUCUCUAGCAACAAAUUCAUGGACUACACCGUUCAGCUCAAUCAUGCUGCAUCCAGGCAUUUUUGUCAAACCUUUCACUUUCAUCUCUCUCCUUAACUCUCCUACAAUUUCCCAUCUAUUAACCAUUGCAUAUACAUUCGAAAGAAGCACAUAAUUCAUGUGAUUAUGGGGCUCCAACUUGAUCAAAAUUCUCCCAACUUGGUCUGCCAACUUAACAUUUCCAUGCAGUUUACAAGCACCAAGGAGGGCUCUCCAUAUAGUUCCAUCAGCUUUCAAAGGCAUAGUUUUAACUACCUGAAAUGCAUCAUCUAAUAAACCUGCACGACCCAGUAGGUCCACAAGGCAUCCAUAGUGCUCUAUUUUAGGUUGCACUUUCUGAUCUUCCACUAGUCGAUUAAAGAGAUACAAUCCAACAUCAACAAGACCUGAAUGAUUACAUGCUGCUAAAAUGCUGAUGUAUGUGAUUUCAUUAGGUUCUAUUCCACACUCUAUCAUCUUGUCAAAGAGCUCAAUAGCUUCCUCUCCAAAUGAGUGCAUUGCCAGCCCUCCUAACAUUGAAUUCCAGACAAAUACUUUCUUAUCUUCUGUUUCCUUAAAAACUUUCCUAGCCAAGUCUAUUCGUCCACACUUGCUGUACAUAUCAAUCAACGCCGUUGAUAAUUGGGCAUCAGCUUUAAUCCCACUUUUAUCAAGGUAAGUGUGGAGCCAACGGCCUUGAUCCAAAGCUCCCAACUUGGCACAAGCAGAGAUUAAAGUUGUUAUAGUGAUCUCAUCCAUUUCAACCUCGGCAAUCUGCAUCUCUUUGAAAAGACCCAAAGCCUCACCAUAAUAACCCAUUUUUAAGUAACCAUUAACUAACGCAGUCCAAGAAACCAAGUUCCUUUCUGGCAUCUCAUUGAAUAAAUAAGAAGCUUCACUCAACAAACCAGCAUUUACAUAGCCGACAAGCAUUAUAGUCCAAGACACCACAUCUCUUUGAGGCAUUUCAUCAAAAACUCGUCGUGCCUGACCCAAAUUCCCUGAUUUUGCAUACCCAUCAAUCAAACAAUUCCA